rnacentral:rRNA from 1 species
UACGUAGGGGGCAAGCGUUGUCCGGAAUCAUUGGGCGUAAAGAGCGUGUAGGCGGCUCGAUAAGUCCGCUGUGAAAGUCAAGGGCUCAACCCUUGAAUGCCGGCGGAUACUGUCGGGCUAGAGUCCGGAAGAGGCGAGUGGAAUUCCUGGUGUAGCGGUGAAAUGCGCAGAUAUCAGGAGGAACACCUACGGCGAAGGCAGCUCGCUGGGACGGUACUGACGCUGAGACGCGAAAGCGUGGGGAGCAAACAGG